ACUCCUACGGGAGGCAGCAGUGGGGAAUAUUGCACAAUGGGGAAACCCUGAUGCAGCCAUGCCGCGUGUGUGAAGAAGGCCUUCGGUUGUAAAGCACUUUCAGUAGGGAGGAAGGUAGUGUAGUUAACACCUGCAUUAUUUGACGUUACCUACAGAAGAAGCACCGGCUAACUCCGUGCCAGCAGCCGCGGUAAUACGGAGGGGUGCGAGCGUUAAUCGGAAUUACUGGGCGUAAAGCGCAUGCAGGCGGCCUGUUAAGUCAGAUGUGAAAGCCCGGGGGCUUAACCUCGGAAUUGCAUUUGAAACUGGCAGGCUAGAGUCUGUAGAGGGGGUAGGAAUUUCAGGUGUAGCGGUGAAAUGCGUAGAGAUCUGAAGGAAUACCAGUGGCGAAGGCGACCCCCUGGACAAAGACUGACGCUCAGAUGCGAAAGCGUGGGGAGCGAAACAGGAUUAGAUACCCUGGUAGCACAGAG
rnacentral:rRNA from 1 species